rnacentral:lncRNA from 1 species
CUGCCUCAAUACAGAUAUGUCACACUGCACCCUGCCGCACAAGGUUACUUGGGUUUAUGUUUUGUUUGUUUGUUACCAGGGGUUGAACUCAGGGGCACUCAUUCACUGAACCACAAUUCCAGCCCUAUUUUGUAUUUUAUUUGGAGACAGAGUCUCACUGAGUUGCUUAGUGCCUCAGUAGCAGGACUGGCUUUGAACUUGAGAUCCUCUUGCCUCAGCCUCCCAAGCUGCUGGAAUUAUAGGUAUGUGCUACCUUGCCCAGCCCACACAAGGUUUUUUAUGUUUGUUUUUUUAAACCAUUUCUUGGUUACACUGUGUUUAGUUUAAACAAAAAAACACCCUAAGUUCUAGGGUGUACGUGGCUACUACUUUUAUAUAAUUUUUUUUAAGUUGUUGAUGGACCUUGAUUUUAUUUAUUUAUAUGCAGUGCUGAGAGUGGAAUCCAGUGCCUCCCACAUGCCAGGCAAGUGCACUACUGCUCAGCCCCAGCCCCUUGGUUACCUCUUUACUCAAGAGGGGCUGAAAGUAUUUAAGAAACUAGGCUGCUGGCAUGCCUUGAUCUCCAUUUUAUACAAUCAGCAAUAAGUAGAUGAAACACUUGUAAAUUCCUACAGAAUUAACUACACUCCCAAAACUUCGGUUUAAUUAGCUCUACAUAAGCUGAAAGUGUAUCUAUUUUCCAGUAAUUUACUGAAGUGACAUGAUUAUUUCAUGGCACAAUUUGGC